UGGGGAAUAUUGCACAAUGGGCGCAAGCCUGAUGCAGCCAUGCCGCGUGUGUGAAGAAGGCCUUCGGGUUGUAAAGCACUUUCAGCGAGGAGGAAGGUGGUGAGCUUAAUACGCUCAUCAAUUGACGUUACUCGCAGAAGAAGCACCGGCUAACUCCGUGCCAGCAGCCGCGGUAAUACGGAGGGUGCAAGCGUUAAUCGGAAUUACUGGGCGUAAAGCGCACGCAGGCGGUUUGUUAAGUCAGAUGUGAAAUCCCCGGGCUCAACCUGGGAACUGCAUUUGAAACUGGCAAGCUAGAGUCUCGUAGAGGGGGGUAGAAUUCCAGGUGUAGCGGUGAAAUGCGUAGAGAUCUGGAGGAAUACCGGUGGCGAAGGCGGCCCCCUGGACGAAGACUGACGCUCAGGUGCGAAAGCGUGGGGAGCAAAACAGGAUUAGAUACCCUGGUAGUCCACGCUGUAAAACGAUGUCGAUUUUGGAGGUUGUGCCCCUUGAGGCGUGGCUUCCGGAGCUAACGCGUUAAAUCGACCGCCUGGGGAGUACGGCCGCAAGGUUAAAACUCAAAUGAAUUG
rnacentral:rRNA from 1 species